rnacentral:rRNA from 1 species
AUUGAACGCUAGCGGCAGGCUUAACACAUGCAAGUCGAACGAGUCGCGGAAGGGUGAGUUAUGCAUGGGAACCUUGCUGAUGGAUGGGGAUGACUAAGGGAAACUGUAGCUAAUACCGCCUAGCACAGGCGGAGCCCAAGUGGGAUUAUGUAGUUGGGGCGGUAAAGCCUCACCAAGCCGACGAGCUCUAGCGGGUCUGAGAGGAUGACCAGCCACACGGGGACUGAGACACGGCCCAGACUCCUACGGGAGGCAGCAGUGGGGAAUAUUGCGCAAUGGGGGCAACCUGACGCAGCCAUGCCGCGUGAGUGAAGAAGGCCUUCGGGUUGUAAAGUACUUUCGGUAGGGAGGCGUUAACUACAGAAGAAGCACCGGCUAACUCCGUGCCAGCAGCCGCGGUAAUAC